GCUCAGUGGGGGUGCUUUUUGAGCCAUGAUGAGCAGGAAAAGGACUUUCACAAGAUAAUGUCAUCACUUAAGGCAAAGACCAGCCAUUUAUACUUCUGUUGUGGUGGAAUGUCAUCAGUUAAGGUGGGGCAGGGCAUAUUCACUUCUUUUGUGAUUUUUCAGUUACUUCCGGCCAUCUGGUCGUAUCCGUGCAAGUCACAGGGGAUGCGAUGGCUUGGCUUGGGCUCAGAGGCCUGACAUUCCUGCCUUCUUAUAUUAAUAAGAAAAAUAAAACAAAAUAGUGUUGAAGUGUUGGGGUGGCAAAAAUUUUGGGGGGGUGGUAUGGAGAGAAAAUGGGCGAUGUUUCUCAGGGCUGCUUCAAGCGGGAUUAGGGGCCGCAUGGGAACCUAGAGUGGGAGAGAUUAAGCUGAAGGGAGGUCUUGUGGUAAGGGGUGAUAUUGUGGGGAUGUUACAAGAAACAUUUGUCGUACAGAAUGAUUGCUGAUGGCCUGGAUACGGUUUUGGAUGAAUUGAGAAACUAAAUGGAAUAAGAGAAGGAGAAAAACAGGUAUAAAAGGUCUAAGAAUUGGGAUGACUCAGGAUAUCUGAUUAGAGAGUGCCUAAGGAGAUUCAGCAGAGUCCUGCCAGCAAAGAUUAUUUAUUUACUUCAAGAGUUAAGAGUGGCAGUUUGGGGAUAGCACCAGGAGAUAUCACCUGUGAUGGCUUGGAAAAACAAUGUAAACCGGCAGUGUAAACAAGAGCAGGGCAUGUAUUAGUAGUUGAGAACGGUGAAUAGGAGUAUGACUAGACAGAAGAUAGCAGGGAUGACAAGUUCUUUGGGGCACAGUCUAAGUGGGAA
rnacentral:lncRNA from 1 species